rnacentral:misc_RNA from 1 species
ACUUCCUAGAGCAGCCUUCUCUUUACUCUCUUUGCUUAAUUCAACCAUUAAUAAACCUUCCUUAUCACCAUUUUCAUCUCCAAAACCUUCUUUCUUCACUAUCAAACCUAAGAUUACUAAUUUUUCUAGGUUUAUAUCAUCAUCAAUGGCUUCAGAGUCGAAGGAUUCGCCUUCUAACAAUCCAGGUCUUCAUGCUACCCCUGAUGAAGCAACUAAAGGUUACUUUUUGCAGCAAACUAUGUUUAGAAUCAAGGAUCCCAAAGUGAGUCUUGAAUUCUACUCCAAAGUGUUGGGCAUGUCCUUGCUCAAGAGAUUGGAUUUCCCUGAGAUGAAGUUCAGCUUAUACUUCAUGGGGUAUGAGGAUACAGCAUCAGCUCCCAGUGAUCCCGUUGAACGUACUGCUUGGACCUUUAGUCAGAAAUCUACAUUAGAGCUUACACACAACUGGGGUACUGAGAGUGACCCUAAUUUUACAGGUUACCACAAUGGAAAUUCAGAACCACGUGGCUUUGGACACAUAGGUGUUACUGUUGAUGAUGUCUACAAGGCUUGUGAGAGAUUUGAAAGUCUGGGAGUAGAGUUUGUAAAGAAACCUCUUGACGGAAAAAUGAAAGGUAUUGCAUUUAUUAAAGAUCCUGAUGGCUAUUGGAUCGAGAUCUUUGACACGAAAAUUAUCAAAGACGCUGCUGGUUCUGCUUCUUAGUUCAGGAGCACUCGAGGCUUCUAUCACGAGUCUUGAUCAACUCAGAGAUCGAUUUGAAGAGAGUGUUUUCCAGAAAUGAACAUUUUCGCGCUGUGUUUAAUCUGCUAGUGAAUGAAUUUUGCGCCAUGUUUUAGGCCGAAAAGUUUUUUAUCUGUCUAAUGUAAAAACAAGAGAUGUAUACUGUGUUCAAAAUAAUAGAUUGGAUGUAACUUCUGUGAUUGAGAAAUAAAAAUUGAAUUAGAAAAAC